GUGAAGAUUAGAGGACACACAGAGAGAGAUUAAUUGAUCACUAUUGGCAUUAUUUGAAUCCUAGAUCAAGUCUUGGCGGGGCACAGUGGCUCACACCUGUAAUUCCAGCACUGCACUUUGGGAGACCAAAAUGGAUGAUUCACCAAAGGGACAUAUUCGUGUUUGCAGUGCUUUAAAGCUUGACGCGAAUGUAGCCACUAACAAAGCAUAUCUCCCUCUCAAGCUCUCAUGGACUCUCUUCUAA
rnacentral:lncRNA from 1 species